UACGGGGGGGGCAAGCGUUGUUCGGAAUUACUGGGCGUAAAGGGCUCGUAGGCGGCCAACUAAGUCGGAUGUGAAAUCCCCCAGGCUUAACCUGGGAACUGCAUCCGAUACUGGAUGGCUUGAAUUCGGGAGAGGGAUGCAGAAUUCCAGGUGUAGCGGUGAAAUGCGUAGAUAUCAGGAGGAACACCUGCGGUGUAGACGGCUUACUGGACCAUAACUGACGCUGAGGCACGAAAGCGUGGGUAGCAAACAGG
rnacentral:rRNA from 1 species